rnacentral:rRNA from 2 species
CAGGUCAGGCGGGACUACCCGCUGAGUUUAAGCAUA